CAACGCGAAGAACCUUACCAAGUCUUGACAUCCCCCUGAAUAAGCAGUAACAUGUUUAGCCUUUCGGGGCAGGGGAGACAGGUGGUGCAUGGUUGUCGUCAGCUCGUGUCGUGAGAUGUUGGGUUAAGUCCCGCAACGAGCGCAACCCUUAUCCCCAGUAGCCAGCAGCCAGGCUGGGCACUCUGGGGAGACUGCCGGGGAUAACCUGGAGGAAGGCGGGGACGACGUCAAAUCAUCAUGCCCCUUAUGAUUUGGGCUACACACGUGCUACAAUGGCGUAAACAAAGGGAAGCGAAGGGGCGACCCGGAGCAAAUCCCAAAAAUAACGUCCCAGUUCGGAUUGUAGUCUGCAACUCGACUAUAUGAAGCUGGAAUCGCUAGUAAUCGCGAAUCAGAAUGUCGCGGUGAAUACGUUCCCGGGUCUUGUACACACCGCCCG
rnacentral:rRNA from 1 species